GUUAGUCUAAACCGAAAGUGUUAGCAAGUUUAUUUCACAAUUUAAAAACUAGUUUACAAAUUUGCAUACGCUUAGAAGUCAGAUUUCUAGAGGAAAAAUAAAUAAGAUUAUCUUGAUUAAUAAUGCUCAUUCCGUCCCUAUAUCUAAGCAGUAAGCACCCUUUUAUUAGAGGGAAAGGGUGCUUACAUACAGGGACGGGGGGAGUAGUAUUUUGGAGAGACGUCAAAUUAAUGACUUAACUAUUGGGUAGCGUUGUAUGUAAUGUUAAUGUUAAUCCAUUUGUAGGACAUGUUCCUUGCUGGUACCGAAACAUCGUCACAGGUUCUGUUAUGGGCGAUGUCUGAGAUGGUGAAGAACCCAAAGGUAAUGGAAGAAGCACAAGAUGAAGUAAGUAGAGUGUUUGAUAAAAAGGAGUAUGUGGAUGAGACAGAGUUGCACCAAUUGAUAUACUUAAAGUCCGUCAUCAAAGAAACAUUGAGGUUGCAUCCCGUUGCACCAUUGUUAGUUCCAAGAGAAAGUAGGGAGAGAUGCCAAAUCAAUGGGUAUGAAAUCCCAGCUAAGACAAGGGUAAUGGUUAAUGCUUGGGCUAUUGGAAGAGAUUCAAGGUAUUGGGUUGAAGCUGAGAGUUUUAAACCUGAGAGGUUUGUUAAUAGUCCAAUUGAUUUCAAAGGCACGGACUUCGAAUUCAUACCAUUUGGUGCUGGAAGAAGGAUGUGUCCAGGUAUUUCAUUUGCCAUACCCAAUGUUGAGCUGCCUCUUGCUAAGUUACUUUAUCACUUUGAUUGGAAGCUUCCCAAUGGAAUGAGCCAUCAAGAACUUGAUAUGACUGAGUUUUUUGGGAUUACUGUAGGUAGAAAACACGACCUAUGUUUAAUUCCUACUACUCGUCGUCUUUAAUGUGUAUUAUCUAAGCAAACAAAUUCAAAAACAAUGUUCCUAAUAAAAUUUGUAAUGGUAAACUUUACAUAUAGGUUUACUAUAUGUCGUCUAAAAUUUGUGUAUGAUUGUACCACAAAUAUAGAAUAUGUGUCCAAGCAUUGCAUUUGGUUUAGCCAAUGUUGAACUGCGUCUUGCUGAAUUACUUUAUGACUUUGAUUGAAAGCUUUCCAAUGGAAUGAAUAAUGAAGAACAGUCGUUUGGGCUGACAGUCGGAAGAAAACACGACCUAUGUUCGUUUCCUAUUACAGGUUGUCUAUAAUAUUUGUAUUGUGCACUGCCUUUCAAAAAGAAAUAUUUGUAUUGUCUAACCAAAGAAGUUCACAAUGUGGUUAAUUAAUUACUUAUACUACUUUCUGCAAGGCGUCGUGUAAUUCGUUGUUCACAUUUUUAUUAAGAUUCUACGUUUGACAUUAGAUAACUUGAAAAUCCUGGGAUUUCUUCGGUUAAUCAGUUUGUUCCAACUCCUUCAUCAAAUCAAGAUAUGCCAAAGCAUUUGCAUCAUUUUGCACGCCUAUUUUAGUAUGUUUAAUUUGUAAGGAUUAAGAUUUCUCUCUCGGUUUUCUAUGUAGGACCACGAGAAAGAUGCAACUAAUUUCAUUUUUGUGUCAUGUCUCACUUGGUUCUCAGCAUUUGCAAACAUGCAUGUCGGUAAGUAUGUACGAGCAUGAAACAUUAUUCUUGUUAUUCAUUGCCUAUCCAAAAUAAAUAAAUAAAAUAGUUUUUGUAUUCUUUAAUGGGAAAUGCUAAUUAACUUGUCUAUUUAUGAAAUCUUUAACAUGAGUCAUAAGGGUACAAGUUAACAAGACCCUUCAUUAAUUUACCAAGCUUGUUUAAUGUUUUAACUUCAGGGGACACACAAGGAAUGCGGUGAAAGGAAUUUAGCAACAAAUUCAAAAUUCUUUGUGCUUUUGUACCCAAAUAAAUAGAUAUGUUUUUUUUACCUGAAAUCAUUAAAAUUUCAGGUAACGAUAAGUUAAUUAUUAAAGGAGUAAUGCUAGCAACACUCUUUUGAACACACUCUUUAAUACUACAUUUCUUAUUGGUUUAAAUCAUUGUGAGUCUACACUUUGAAAAUUGAACCUACACAAAGUGAUGGGACAUACAUUAAUUUCAUCUAAUAAAAGAGUGGAUGCUACAAAGAGUGUUCAAAAAUAAAUGUUUCUAACAUUACUAUUAUUGAUGUGUUGCCUCUUAUCUCAUUUUAAUAAAAAUCUCACCACUAGUUCAUAUACUUUACCACUAGUUUCUCACACUACACAUUCUAACACUAGGGUUUAUAAUAUCAUUCUGAUUCACGAACUAGUUAAAAGAUGUUGUUUUUUCAAGGGCGAGGGUUUGGUUGUUGCUCUCUUAGUUGCACUCUUAUCCUUUGAAGUUGAUAAAUAAAUGAAACCAAUUACUUCGAUUGAUUAUGAAAGCUCAAAAGACAUAAGUAUAAGGUGUUUUGGAAAGUGGCCCAUAGACCAAAAUUAAUUCAGAUUUUUUUUCCGGUAAGGGUGAUUGAUUUGGUAAUAAUGACAUAUAAUUACAAGUCUAGCAAGACCCUAUUUGAAAAUGAUAGAUUACCAAAUGGAGUUUAUCUGAAAUCACUAGUGUCUCUUGGUUUAACUAUGUAGUGCUAUUAUUAAUUCUUACAAAUAAUUUAUUUGACAUAAUGACCGAAGUAAAUAAUACAUUAAGCUCUUCAAAAUGUUUGUGGAUGAUUUUUUCAUGUGCAUAAUACAAAAAAUAUAAUUCCACAAAAAAAUUGAUAGGAUCAAUUCAAUUUAAUAAGCCCUUGAAGGAAGAUGACAAUCGAGUCUGACAUGGCGUGCUGCAAUUUAAUUAACUCUUAAUCGCAAAUUAUUAAUAUGAUGGUGUUGGACGUUUCAUUUUGACUCCACAAAGUACACCUUAUUCUUCAUGUGUGUCUUACUUUUUAUUAAAUUGCUUUGGACUGGUUGUUCUAUUUUUUACCACACAAAGCACACCUUAUGCUUCAUUUGUGUCUUUAUUAAAUUGCUUUGCAUAUAUUAAAAAAUAAUAAUAAACAACAGGCACAUGUUUGGUGCAAGGAGAAAAUGUUAUUUAACAUGUCUGCAUUAUAUUGAAAUUGCAAGUGAUCUAAUUUUGAGUGUUUUGCAUAGAAAUCUUCUUUGUCAAGGCACUCUUCAGAUUCUCUAGAUCAAGCUACCAUCAUGGAGCUUCAAAACCCUUUUUCGAAUAUCAUCUUCAUGCUCUCCUUUCUCAUCCUCUUAGUUCUAUUCAAAAUAGUUCAAAGAUGGAGUUUUAACAAUUCCACUACCAAAUUGCCACCAGGACCAUGGAAACUACCCCUCAUAGGAAACUUACAUCAGAUUAUCAGCAGAUCAUUGCCCCAUCACCUCUUCAAAAAGUUGGCAGAAAAAUAUGGACCUUUGAUGCACCUUAAACUAGGAGAGGUACCAUAUGUAAUAGUUAGUUCACCAGAAAUGGCAAAAGAGGUUAUGAAAACACAUGACCUUACAUUUUGUGAUAGGCCAAACCUUCUUUUGUCAACAAUAUGGAGUUACAAUGCUACAAAUAUUGUCUUCGCUACAUACUGUGAACAUUGGAGGCAAGUACGAAAGAUAUGUGUUAUAGAGCUAUUAAGUGCAAAGCGUGUCCAAUCAUUUAGGUCCAUAAGAGAAGAUGAAGUGACAAAUCUUGUUAAAUCAAUAACUGCAAGUGAAGGAUCGGUUGUAAAUCUCACUCGGAAGAUUUUCUCAAUGACAAAUGGGAUAACAGCGCGGGCAGCUUUUGGGAAAAGGAAUAGAAACCAAGAUGUGUUCAUAUCAGCAAUGGAGAAAGUAUUGGUGCUAUUAGGAGGAUUUGAAAUUGCAGAUUUGUAUCCUUCUAUUAAAAUGCUUCAAUGCAUGAGUAGGGAGAAGACCAAAAUGGAAAAAAUUCAUAGAGAGCUUGAUAUGAUAAUGCAAGACAUCAUCGACGAUCACAGAAGCAUUCACAAGGAAGCAAGCAACGAUGAAGAUCUAGUAGAUGUUCUUCUCAAGAUUCAACAGGAAAAUUAUUACUCAGAACAUCCUUUAACCGAUGACAAUAUGAAAUCAAUCAUCCAGGUUAGUCUAAAACCAAAAGUGGUAGCAAGUUUAUUUCACAAUUUAAAAACUAGUUUAUAAAUUUGCAUAGCUUAGAAGUCUGAUUUCUAGAGGAAAAAUAAUUAGGAUUAUCUUGAUUAAUAAUAGUAAUUUGGAGAGAACAUCAAAUUAAUGACUUAACUUUUGGGUAGCGUUGUACGUAAUGUUAAUGUUAAUCCAUUUGUAGGAUAUGUUCAUUGCUGGUACCGAAACAUCGUCAGAGGUAUUGUUAUGGGCGAUGUCUGAGAUGGUAAAGAACCCAAAGGUAUUGGAAGAAGCACAGAUUGAAGUAAGAAGAGUGUUUGAUAAAAAGGGGUAUGUGGAU
rnacentral:lncRNA from 1 species